rnacentral:rRNA from 1 species
UGAGGAAUUUUGCGCAAUGGGAGCAAUCCUGACGCAGCAACGCCGCGUGGGUGAUGAAGGCCUUCGGGUCGUAAAGCCCUGUCAGGUGGGAAGAAUGUCCCGGAACUGAACAGGUUUCGGGAGUGACGGUACCACCAGAGGAAGCACCGGCUAACUCCGUGCCAGCAGCCGCGGUACUACGGAGGGUGCAAGCGUUAUUCGGAAUUACUGGGCGUAAAGCGCGUGUAGGCGGUCCUGCAAGUCUGAUGGGAAAGCCCCGGGCUUAACCCGGGAAGUGCAUUGGAAACUGCAGGU